rnacentral:RNase_P_RNA from 1 species
UGGGUCGACAAGACGGUCGCGGCAUCUACAGGUGUCGAGGAACGUCCGGGCUCCACAGGGCAGGACGGUGGGUAACACCCACCCGGGGUAACCCGCGAGAAAGUGCAACAGAGAGCAAACCGCCCCUGGCUUCGGCCGGGGGUAAGGCUGAAACGGUGGUGUAAGAGACCACCAGCGGUCGUGGUAACACGGUCGGCUAGGUAAACCUCGUCCGGAGCAAGGUCAGACAGAAAACGUUGAGGCGGCCCGCUGAGUUUUCGGGUAGACCGCUAGAGGGUUGCGGUAACGUGGCCCCCAGAUAGAUGGCCGUCCAUCGCAUACGCGUGGACAGAACCCGGCGUAAUAGUCGGCCCAUUCA